GAGUGGCGAACGGGUGAGUAAAGUAUCGGAACGUGCCCAGUCGUGGGGGAUAACGUAGCGAAAGCUACGCUAAUACCGCAUACGAUCUAUGGAUGAAAGCGGGGGAUCGCAAGACCUCGCGCGAUUGGAGCGGCCGAUAUCAGAUUAGGUAGUUGGUGGGGUAAAGGCCCACCAAGCCGACGAUCUGUAGCUGGUCUGAGAGGACGACCAGCCACACUGGGACUGAGACACGGCCCAGACUCCUACGGGAGGCAGCAGUGGGGAAUUUUGGACAAUGGGCGCAAGCCUGAUCCAGCAAUGCCGCGUGCUAGGAAGAAGGCCUUCGGGUUGUAAACUGCUUUUGUACGGAGCGAAAAGGCUCUCUCUAAUACAGGGGGCUCAUGACGGUACCGUAAGAAUAAGCACCGGCUA
rnacentral:rRNA from 1 species